UACGUAGGGUGCAAGCGUUAAUCGGAAUUACUGGGCGUAAAGCGUGCGCAGGCGGUUUCGCAAGUCAGAUGUGAAAGCCCCGGGCUUAACCUGGGAAUUGCAUUUGAAACUACGAGGCUAGAGUGUGUCAGAGGGGGGUAGAAUUCCACGUGUAGCAGUGAAAUGCGUAGAGAUGUGGAGGAAUACCGAUGGCGAAGGCAGCCCCCUGGGAUAACACUGACGCUCAUGCACGAAAGCGUGGGGAGCAAACAGG
rnacentral:rRNA from 1 species